CGCUGACAUGAUAGAUUAAAUAUAUAUCAAUGCAUUUCAAGUUAUAUGAGCAAUCCGACUGUCAUAUUUUUGUACUGAAAAAUGAUUAUUAAAUGCUGGCUUUUUCUAUGCGUUGAAUUGAAAAAUGAAAAGACUUGAAACGUUUACUGACUGCGAAAGUCGAGAAAAUAUAAGCAUGGGUUUAAAACGGGAUAGAGUGAGAACGGAUAAGACACUACAUGAUGAGAAUGGAUAAAACGGGAUAUAGUGAGAAUGGAUAAGACACUAUAUGAUGAGAAUGGAUAAGCUUUUAAGACGGGAUAGAGUGCGUGAGAAUGGAUAAGAUGGGAUAGAGUGCAUGAGAAUGCAUAAGACGAUAAUGGAUGAAAAUUGAUAAAACGUGAUAUAGUGAGAAUGGAUAAGGCACUACAGGAUGAGAAUGGAUUAGGAGAGAUAGGAUGAGAACGGAUAAAACACUAUAGAAUGAAAUUGGAUAAGACGAUAUAGAUGGAGAAAGGAUAAGACACUAUAUACUAGGAUAAGAAUGGAUAAGACGAGAUAGGAUGUGAAUGGAUAAGACGAGAUAGGAUGAGAAUUGAUAAGACGAAAUAUGUUUAGAAUGGAUAAAACGAUAAAGGAUGAGCGUUGAUAAACGUGAUAGAGUGAGAAUGGAUAAGGCGAGAUGGGAUGAGAAUGGAUAAGACACUGUAGGGUGAGAAUGGAUAAGACGAGAUAGGAUGAGAAUGGAUAAAACGAGAUAGGUCGAGAACGGAUAAAACGAGAUACGACGAAAAUGGAUAAGACGAGAACGGAUAAAACGAGAUACGACGAAAAUGGACAAGACGAAAACGGAUAAAACGAGAUACGAAUAAAAUGUAUAAGACGAGAAAGGAUGAUAAUGAAUAAGACGAGAUAGGAUGAGAAUGGAUAAGACGAGAAAAGACGAGAUCGGAUAAAACGAGAAAGAACGAGAACGGAUAAAACGAGAUACGACGAAAAUGGAUAAAACGACAGAGGAUGAGAAUGGAUAAGACGAGAUAGGAUGAGAAUGGAUAAAACGAGAAAGGGCGAGAAAGGAUAAAACGAGAUACGACGAAAAUGGAUAAAACGAGAGAGGAUGAGAAUGGAUAAGACGAGAUAGGAUGAGAAUGGAUAAAAGGAGAACGGAUAAAACGAGAUAGGAAAAGAACGGAUAAAACGAGUUACGACGAAAAUGGAUAAGACCAGAUGGAGGAUAAUGAAUAAGACGAGAUAGAAUUAGAAGGAAUAAAACGAGAGAGGAUGAGAAUGAAUAAAACGAAAAAGGUUGAGAAUGGAUAAAACUAAAAAGGUUGAGAAUGUAUAAGACCAGACGGAGGAUGAUAGAUAAGACGAUAUAGGAUAUAAAAUAAUGGAUGAGGCGAGAUAUGUUAAGAAUGGAUAAGACCAGAGAGGAUGAGAACGAACAAAACGAGAGAGAAUGAGAAUUGAUAUGGCGAUAUAGGAUGAGAUAGAUAAGACACCAUAAGAUGUGAAUGGAUAAGACGAGAGAGAAUGAGAAUGGAUAAGACGGGAAAGAAUGAGAAUGAAAAAAUGGGAUGAGCAUGGAUAGGACCAGAUAGGAUGAGAAUGAUAAUGAAUAAGACGAGAUAGGGUGAGAAUGAAUAAGACAAUAAAGGAUGGCAAUCGAUAACACGUGAUAGAGUGAUAAUGAAUGAGAAUGAAUAAGCGAGAUAGGAUGGGAAUCAAUAAAACAAGAUAGGAUGGGAAUCAAUAAAAAAAGAUAGGAUGGGAAUCAAUAAAACAAGAUAGGAUGGGAAUCAAUAAAAAAGA
rnacentral:lncRNA from 1 species